UACGUAGGGGGCUAGCGUUGUCCGGAAUCAUUGGGCGUAAAGAGCGUGUAGGCGGUCCGGUAAGUCCGCUGUGAAAGUCAAAGGCUCAACCUUUGAAAGCCGGUGGAUACUGUGGGGCUAGAGUACGGAAGAGGCGAGUGGAAUUCCUGGUGUAGCGGUGGAAUGCGCAGAUAUCAGGAGGAACACCAAUAGCGAAGGCAGCUCGCUGGGACGUUACUGACACUGAGGCGCGAAAGCGUGGGGAGCGAACAGG
rnacentral:rRNA from 1 species